rnacentral:rRNA from 1 species
ACAGCAGUAGCCGCGGGAACACGGAGGGAGCUAGCGUUAUUCGGAAUUACUGGGCGUAAAGCGCACGUAGGCGGCUUUGUAAGUUAGAGGUGAAAGCCUGGAGCUCAACUCCAGAAUUGCCUUUAAGACUGCAUCGCUUGAAUCCAGGAGAGGUGAGUGGAAUUCCGAGUGUAGAGGCGAAAUUCGUAGAUAUUCGGAAGAACACCAGUGGCGAAGGCGGCUCACUGGACUGGUAUUGACGCUGAGGUGCGAAAGCGUGGGGAGCAAACAGGAUUAGAUACCCCGGUAGUCCCUGUCUCUUAUAC